GUCCGCUCAAGGACAUCCGGUAAAAUUGGAACGAUAUAGAGAAGAUUAGCAUGAUCCCUAUGCAAGGAUGACAUGCACAAAUCGAGAAAAGGUAUGGUAUGACCAAUUCAU
rnacentral:snRNA from 1 species